AGCAUGAUGUAGUGGUUUGAGUGCUAGACUAUCACUCUGGAGGCUAGGGUUCCAUUCCCUGCCAUGAAA